rnacentral:tRNA from 2 species
GGAGGUGAUUGUCAUCUGGUGAUGGCCCUGGUCUUCAAAACCAGUGGUGCGGGUGUGAGCUCGCGCGGUGGGUUCGAUUCCCAUCCAUCUCCGCCA